CAUGUCACUCAAACCAGCUGUAUUAAGGAAGGUGCAAGCUUUUGGGAUUUCUGUUUGGAUUUAGUUUAGGUUCAAAAGAGCACGCACAGAUCCUGAGUGUUGUCAAGCACCCGUGACUGGGAAACGGAGGCGUCCGAUCCGUAUUGGAGUCAAUUCGCCACUUAAUUGGUCUAAAGGUGACAUGUGGCACUAGAGAGCAUGCCUCUUUUUUUGUGCUGCUCUGCAACCUUUCGGCAUCUGAGAAGAUUGUUCUAGUGUUGCGGUUUACAUGUGGUCACUGCAGGACUCCGGCCAGCCAUUCCCAGGGCAGUGUGUGUCCUUAGAACUGAGCUCAGAAGCUGAAAUACUCAGUAGGACAGAAGCCUUUUGGACUCUCUCUCUCUUCUCUGUCACUGAAAAAUUUCUACAGAACAACACAUUCAAUAGGACCAAAUGAGUCCACAUCAAUGAAGAGAAAAACCCUUUGAAAAGAUUCAGCACGUUGCCAUGGAGAACAUCCCACUGAAGGAAUGUAUAGAAGUAGCAGGGUUAACUGAGUGCCUUCCAUCUUCCCUCCAAGGGAUCUGCAAUGAGAUGGGAGAAGGCAACAGGCUGUGUGGGAACCACUGAAGCUGGGAUGGCAGGGAAAGAACAUCUUAGGCUAACUCUUCAAGCCUUGCUGUCACAUUUGCUUUUGAGUCUAUGGUGUCAGCUGCCUACCAGUUGCUUUCAUCUCUAGAAAUCUGUGACUUGCAGUAUGACAAGAACAAAAGGUGACAAUACAAAGGACAAAGGGCAAGGAAUACAGACGGAGAAGCCGCUUAGAGUCUAGGAUGGCAGAGGUUCUCUUGAUCAUUUCAUUUUUGAGCGCUUGUAGAGCUUUGGUGUACCAGAGGUGCUUGAACAGCUUACCACACCACAGAUGAAUGGCCUUUGGAUUUCUCCUAAGAAAAUGUGGCUACCUGAAAUUCAACUCCAUUUUCUGGUCUUCAAUAUUUCUUUUGUGUUCAGUUUGCCAGCUGAGGAGAAGUGGCUAAGCAUAGCCUGUUACUGAUGCUAAAGCCCAAGUUCUGAACCUAACAACUCCAGCAACAUGAUCCUGUUUCAAGAGACAAAAAAGUGACUAAUGAAAGAAAACAAUUGAUGUGCUAUGUAGAGUUUAAAAGAAGGUAAAGAGAAUAAAUUAAAAGCAACAACUCUCUUCUUGACAA
rnacentral:lncRNA from 1 species